AUGGGUUUGCUGGAGAAAAUGCUCAACUUGCUACUACUCAGUGUAUUGGUAUCAGAUGGUGAAAUUAUUCUCACUCAGUCUUCAGCAUCCAUGACCACAUCAGGAGGGGUGAAGGUCACUAUCACCUGCAGUGCCAGCUCAAGUGCAAGUUCCAGUUACUUCCAGCAGAAGCCAGGAGACUGCCCUAUGCUCCUGUUUUUUGGAACCUCCAACUUGGCUUUCAGAGUCCCAGCUCUGUUCACUGGCAGUGGAUCAGGGACAUCAUACUCUCUCAUAAUCAGCAGCAUGGAGGCUGAAGAUGUUGACACUUACUACUGUCAACAGAAGAGCAGUGUCCCAUUUACACAGUUCUACAAAUCAAAACAAAAACUACCUUGGCGUUCUCAGAUACCACUGCUUCCUUCUUAG